rnacentral:rRNA from 1 species
AUUGAACGCUGGCGGCAUGCCUUACACAUGCAAGUCGAACGGUAACGGGCCUUCGGGUGCCGACGAGUGGCGAACGGGUGAGUAAUACAUCGGAACGUGCCCGAUCGUGGGGGUUAACGAGGCGAAAGCUUUGCUAAUACCGCAUACGAUCUACGGAUGAAAGCAGGGGACCGCAAGGCCUUGCGCGGGCGGAGCGGCCGAUGGCAGAUUAGGUAGUUGGUGGGAUAAAAGCUUACCAAGCCGACGAUCUGUAGCUGGUCUGAGAGGAUGAUCAGCCACACUGGGACUGGGACACGGCCCAGACUCCUACGGGAGGCAGCAGUGGGGAAUUUUGGACAAUGGGCGCAAGCCUGAUCCAGCCAUGCCGCGUGCAGGAUGAAGGCCUUCGGGUUGUAAACUGCUUUUGUACGGAACGAAAAGCCUUCUUUUAAUACAGGAGGGUCAUGACGGUACCGUAAGAAUAAGCACCGGCUAACUACGUG